UGCCGGGAUCCUAGGAGCAUUAACUCAACCAGACUCAAAUCCCCCCACCCACCGGAAACACAAGCAGCCGGGGCCGAUUUUGGCUCUGCAACCUGAACUCAAGGAGUAGUGCAAAACAAACCAGCUGCAGCCCAAAGAGGCUAGCUAACAAAGGCGAACUGCCUGCCUCCGCCGCUGUAGUCUGUCGGUCUGUAGCUGAAGUCUGGACUGAGGCAGAGGAGAAAAGCUUCCCCGAGCAGAGCUGACAGCUCCAGUAACAGUCUGUCCAAUCAAAGAGCAGGAGGCGGAGCCGGCCCACGGAGGGUUACAUCCAAAUGCUAAUGAACAUCUGCAAACAACAGCACAGAGAGACCAAAACAGGCCGAAACACAUCAUGCCACACACAGGACAGCAACUCUGGGUCCUAAAUCCCUGGUGGUUCUCCCGGACACACAAACACUGUCAGCAGGGCCUGGGUAUCAGAGCAGGAUCCUGGAUCCCAGACAGGGCACUGUGCCCAGAAACCUUUCCCUGUGACUGUGAGACAAAUCCAAGGGUGACGAAAACUGAUAAAACACCCUCGUCCACAUAGUUUGGUGCUUUUUCAGUCUGGGCAUCAGUAGUGGAAUGAUGCCUAGAUUAAUUUAUGUGACUUUAUAUUCUUACUACACUUCGUCUCAGAAGCCCAUGUUGUAAUUGUGAAGCCAAAACAUUUAUGUGUUGAGAAAACCUCCUCUAUGAAAGCCCAAUUUUCAGAAAUGCAUGGUUUUCAUAGGACAGUAGCACUACAAACAUGAUCUUAUAGAAUAUGAUGCAUUUAUUUUAACUAAACUACACAACAGUAUU
rnacentral:lncRNA from 1 species